UACAGAGGUGGCAAGCGUUGUUCGGAAUUACUGGGCGUAAAGGGCGCGUAGGCGGCCCGUCAAGUCCCGUGUGAAAGCCCCCGGCUCAACCGGGGAACGGCGCGGGAAACUAGCAGGCUUGAGUUCGGGAGAGGGAAGCGGAAUUCCUGGUGUAGCGGUGGAAUGCGCAGAUAUCAGGAGGAACACCGGUGGCGAAGGCGGGAUCCUGGGCCAGUACUGACGCUGAGGAGCGAAAGCGUGGGGAGCAAACAGG
rnacentral:rRNA from 1 species